rnacentral:rRNA from 1 species
CAACGUGAGCAACCUGCCUUUCAGAGGGGGAUAACAGUUGGAAACGACUGCUAAUACCGCAUAACGCUGCGAUGGGGCAUCCCGAUGCAGCCAAAGGAGCAAUCCGCUGGAAGAUGGGCUCGCGGCCGAUUAGCUAGUUGGUGGGGCAACGGCCCACCAAGGCGACGAUCGGUAGCCGGACUGAGAGGGCGGACGGCCACAUUGGGACUGAGACACGGCCCAGACUCCUACGGAAGGCAGCAG